rnacentral:rRNA from 1 species
AGAGUUUGAUCCUGGCUCAGGACGAACGCUGGCGGCGCGCCUAACACAUGCAAGUCGAACGAGCGAGAGAGAGCUUGCUUUCUCGAGCGAGUGGCGAACGGGUGAGUAACGCGUGAGGAACCUGCCUCAAAGAGGGGGACAACAGUUGGAAACGACUGCUAAUACCGCAUAAGCCCACAGGUCGGCAUCGACCAGAGGGAAAAGGAGCAAUCCGCUUUGAGAUGGCCUCGCGUCCGAUUAGCUGGUUGGUGAGGUAAUGGCCCACCAAGGCGACGAUCGGUAGCCGGACUGAGAGGUUGAACGGCCACAUUGGGACUGAGACACGGCCCAGACUCCUACGGGAGGCAGCAGUGGGGAAUAUUGCACAAUGGGGGAAACCCUGAUGCAGCGACGCCGCGUGGAGGAAGAAGGUCUUCGGAUUGUAAACUCCUGUUGUUGAGGAAGAUAAUGACGGUACUCAACAAGGAAGUGACGGCUAACUACGUGCCAGCAGCCGCGGUAAAACGUAGGUCACAAGCGUUGUCCGGAAUUACUGGGUGUAAAGGGAGCGCAGGCGGGAAGACAAGUUGGAAGUGAAAUCUAUGGGCUCAACCCAUAAACUGCUUUCAAAACUGUNUUUCUUGAGUAGUGCAGAGUAGGCGGAAUUCCCGGUGUAGCGGUGGAAUGCGUAGAUAUCGGGAGGAACACCAGUGGCGAAGGCGGCCUACUGGGCACCAACUGACGCUGAGGCUCGAAAGUGUGGGUAGCAAACAGGAUUAGAUACCCUGGUAGUCCACACCGUAAACGAUGAUUACUAGGUGUUGGAGGAUUGACCCCUUCAGUGCCGCAGUUAACACAAUAAGUAAUCCACCUGGGGAGUGCGACCGCAAGGUUGAAACUCAAAGGAAUUGACGGGGGCCCGCACAAGCAGUGGAGUAUGUGGUUUAAUUCGACGGAACGCGAAGAACCUUACCAAGUCUUGACAUCCCUUGACGAACAUAGAAAUAUGUUUUCUCUUCGGAGCAAGGAGACAGGUGGUGCAUGGUUGUCGUCAGCUCGUGUCGUGAGAUGUUGGGUUAAGUCCCGCAACGAGCGCAACCCUUACUGUCAGUUACUACGCAAGAGGACUCUGGCAGGACUGCCGUUGGCAAAACGGAGGAAGGUGGGGAUGACGUCAAAUCAUCAUGCCCUUUAUGACUUGGGCUACACACGUACUACAAUGGCGUUAAACAAAGAGAAGCAAGACCGCGAGGUGGAGCAAAACUCAGAAACAACGUCCCAGUUCGGACUGCAGGCUGCAACUCGCCUGCACGAAGUCGGAAUUGCUAGUAAUCGUGGAUCAGCAUGCCACGGUGAAUACGUUCCCGGGCCCUUGUACACACCGCCCGUC